rnacentral:rRNA from 1 species
GACGGGGGCCCGCACAAGCGGAGGAACAUGUGGUUUAAUUCGAUGAUACGCGAGGAACCUUACCCGGGCUCGAACGGCAUCUGAAUAAGUAUGAAAGUAUUUAGCCAGCAAUGGCAGAUGUCGAGGUGCUGCAUGGUUGCCGUCAGCUCGUGCCGUGAGGUGUCGGCUUAAGUGCCAUAACGAGCGCAACCCUUACCGUUAGUUACCAGCAUGUCAUGAUGGGAACUCUGACGGGACUGCCACCGUAAGGUGCGAGGAAGGUGGGGAUGACGUCAAAUCAGCACGGCCCUUACGUCCGGGGCGACACACGUGUUACAAUGGGGGGGACAAAGGGCAGCUACUUGGCGACAAGAUGCCAAUCUCCAAACCCUCUCCCAGUUCGGAUCGAAGUCUGCAACCCGACUUCGUGAAGCUGGAUUCGCUAGUAAUCGCGCAUCAGCCAUGGCGCGGUGAAUACGUUCCCGGGCCUUGUACACACCGCCCGUCAAGCCAUGGAAGCCGGGAGUACCUGAAGUACGUAACCGAAUAGGAGCGUCCUAAGGUAACACCGGUAACUGGGGCUAAGUCGUAACAAGGUAGCCGUA